AGUGGCCAAGCCUUAUACAGAGCAGAAAACAGGGACAUGUCCAGGGAGCCUUAGCACUAUGCAACACUGCCAGCCCUGCCUACAUAAGGCACCAAAUUCCCAUUCCUUUCAGUACAGUGCCACUGGGACCAAUUGUUUCUCAGCCAUGCUGGGCUGGGGGGCCAGGACUCAGCCCCGCCACCUCCUGCUGCAUUGGUGCCAGCCAACACCGCCACUCCUGCCAGCCCUGCUGCUUUCUGAGCCAUGAACUACUGACAGUUCUUCACUGCAACACUUUAUGCAUCAGCAAUCGUUUGUCUUCACAGUUCUGGAUUUUAAGCCAUGUUGUUACACAGGGAAUGGCUGAGGAUUUUGUCCCCAGGCCCACUGAACUUGGGGUGGCCCUGAGGCAGAAGUGCUGCAGAACAAGAAAGGCAUGGGGGAGGUUGGGACCACAGGAGGGUGCAGGUAUGAUGGAGCAGAGAGGGAUGAGGGCAGAUAGAGCAAGGAGGAGAAGCAGGGAGAGCAGCUUAAGGAGGGGUUCAUGUCUUAAAGGUGAGGGGUGAGAUGGAGCAAGGUUGAUGGAAGCAGGGAAGCCAGGUCCGUGCUGCACAGCAGAUGAGGAACAGAGCUAAGAGCCCUAAGCCCAGGUUCAUUUGGAUCCAAGACCCCCUACGCCCUAAUUCUUCUUCAAGAAAUCUGAAUACAAACUGGAGUGCGGAGAGCAGCUGAACCCACAUGGAAAUAUAGGAAACAUGGAAGCAUAUGCCAUCCAUUUUCACCACACAUUUUCAGGCACCAUGCACAUCACCCAGGAGCAACACUAGGAACCCUACAUUUCUAGGUAGGCAAGGGACAAGAAGCAGGGAACAACAACCCCUUAUUUUUUGACUAAGAUCUGUAAAAGAUCCCAAGCAGGGUCCUCUUUCCAUUGGCUCCUUGGAAGAAGAGAAAGUCUUGCGAAGUUUCAGGUUUGAAAUUUUGCACCAACAGAGAGCAGCUGAGUCACUGAGCUCAAGAGGGAUCCUCCUGCCAUUCCUUUACUGGCUUCUCUACCCUGGGGCAAGAUAGUCUUCAUUUACUUUGUCUUGGUUGUUUUUUGUUUUUUUGUAUCUUUCUUUCUUUCUUUUUUUUCCCCUCCUCUGGUACUAAUGCUUCUGAAAGCGAGUGCCUAAGAGCACUUACAAGAACCAGGGUACUGCUCUGAAAACUCUCUCUCUUCCCCACUCGUAGCUUUGUGAUGCUUCCCAGAACAGAUCUGCAGCAUCCUCCAGUUCUAUAUAGGGUAUAUCCUAGAUAUAUACAUAUAGCUAUAUCCAGUUUGCCGUUCCAUUGCCUGGCUUGCAUCCCACCCAAAUAGAGACAUGGAACUCUGUGCCAUUGAUCCCCCAGAAUAGGGCCAAUUGGAUCUCUGCCACUGCCAUUUGGUCUCCCCAUAAGCUGCCCAGCUUCCCCAGAGCUGAGCAGGCUCCCCAGCACCAUCCUAAAAAGCUCCUUUCCUCCCUUCCACUGCCUUUCUUGCAGUACCAAGGCAGAGAUCUCCACUUCAGAAGACUGGCUUAAUCUUUAUCUUGCCACGCAGAUAUUUCCUCCAAACCUGUUCCAGAUCCUCACCCCUUAAAACUGUGCUGUGAUGACGUCCUGCCCUUCAUUCAUGCUGAGCCCAUGAAAACUGAGCAUUGCUGUCCCUGCAUUUGUGACACUGUCCCACAUCUCCUUGACCUGGCAUGCUCAACUAGGGUUUGGAGGACAGUAUCUGGAAAGUAAGAAGGAAUGGCCAGGGCUCACCAGGUCAGUGCACCCCAAGGAUAGAUGUACCUGCUGUCCGUGCAGCAUCCACUUCAAUAUCACCCACUCCACUCCACUUCUCCUGGUUUCUGACUCCCUCGGGCAGCCUCUGCUGACCCAGAAUGGCUUUCUGGAGGAGGUACUCCCAGACUUUUCCGUCAUCCCCACAUGGCUCCAACUUUCCCCCCUUUUUCCCACAUUUUCUGCUGUUCAGCUCAGCUCCCAGGUGAACAUGUCACACUCGGUGCCUCCGCAUCACCCCUGAGAGCCGACCUGCUCAUCGGCCUAAUGGGUUUCCAGGGGGUGGGGGAGAGAGGAGGAGAGUGAGUGGCUGACGCUUCUCAGCCACUCAGCUCUGCCCAGAGCUAACGAGGCAUCUCAAAAUUAAAAAGUGAACUGCAAUCCCCAGCAGGCCUGUCCUCCUUUUGGCAUUAGCCAGAGUUCUCAUUCUCUUUCAAAAGAAAGAAAAAAAAUAGAGAGGACUGGGGAACCGUGAGUUGCAUUUGGAGCUGUUGAUGUACCACAUCCCAUGUGCAGUGGGGGUGCUGGGACAAGGAGGUCUUUGGUGCUGCUGGAAAUCCUUUCUUCUCCAGGGGAAGGAGGGAAGCAGCAUUCUUCACUUUGAGGCCAGCAAGCUGAUUUCUGCACUGUUCUGCCUCAAAACUGAGCUUAGCGCUAUGGAUGAACCAGGGUCAAAUCAUGGUUGUGGAUAGACUAAUGGACAAAGGGUGUGAGGGUGAAAGCGGGGAGUGUGUUCCUUUAUGCUAGAAGGGGAGAGGAGCUGAGGAGCUGCUUUGCUCCCAUUUCCCUGUCCAGCCAGAGACUUUGGUCACAGCUAUGCCAGCCACAAGACAGCCUUGUGCUGUUUCUCCUGGGCCAUAUCUCCAACCAGGACGUACCAUUCCACCAAGAUGCCAUUUUGGCCAUUCAUAGCUCACUCUGAUUGAUCUUCUCAGAAUGAGGGGCCAAGUGGGUAAAGAGUAAUCACCUUCCCAAGUAAAGAUGGCUUACACCCAUCUUGCCCAGCAUCCAAGGCAUGGGCACUGUCCUGGAGAACAGACCAGUCCUCAGGUCUCCUGAGACCAGAAGCCACUACAGGUUAGAUGAGUCUUGUUGUGAUCUCUCUAGAUUUAUCCUAGCAAUGGAUGUGCCCCAAAAUCUCAGACAACUGGUGAGUUCUGGGGACAGCAAUGGUGCAAGGAGACUUCCACCAUUUUUCCUUGGAUGUACAAAGCUUAUGACAUCCAGUUUUCAGACCUACCUCUCAACCCAUCUUUCUCUUACUUAUAGAAGGAUUUUUUUCUACACAGAAGCUUAUCCUCAAUAGCAGAGGGACAGACAUGCAGAAAGUUAGGGUGUCUCUGCACACUGAGCACCAAAGGCACAGUAAUGGGUACUACCAGAGGGGGCUUUGCUCUCCCAAGCAGAGAGAAGGGCAUGAGAGGUUGAAAGGCAGCAGUGAGCUGAGUACCAGAAUUAUGUCUACUGCUUUCUUUCUCUUACUCAGCUUGAGUGAGGAAAAUGCAUUUUGUACUUUGGGAAUUCAAGGUAAAAUCAAAUAAACUGCAAAAAUAUCCAUUUUAUAGUCAGAAAGGAGGCACUGCAUGCUCAUCCCAGCCCAUGCACCACACAGACCUUGCAGUUCUAGUAGCAGCACCUGGACUGAAGGAUGGGAUGGUGUGUCCCAGGGAUGAGCUGGGUGUCCCAGGGACCUGGGGGGAGCAGGACCUCCACAGUUCCCCACACCCCUCUGCUCUGUUACCCCAUGCAGCCAGGUCACCUGCUGUUUUACUUUAUCAUAAUGAUCUCAGCUUAGGAGAUGGUUUUCCUCACUGUUUUUAUGUCAUCUCUGCAGUUCUCUCCUCCUCAUAAAAUGUGACUGCACCAAUUCCUCUGAUUGGGGCAGGUCAGCUAAUAGGGGCAUUUCACAUUUCCCAGGUAGACCUUUAAAACAAUCCAGCCAUAUCUCACAUCUAAAGGAGAGGAGGGGGAGGGAGGAAUCCUGCUGUCUUGCAUGCACUCACAAAGUCGUGCCCCACCACACUGAAGUGACACCCAACUGCACUGUGGAGGAACAAGCAUUGCCCCAUCCUACAGCCCCCACUAGGCAAGGGCCAGCAGUAGCUCGUGCUGCCCUCAUGUCCCCAAGGCAACUUCAAAACCUAAAGAAAUCCAAAGCAACAUUCCCCUACCCACGGUUUCAAGGAGAUUUGGAUCAAGCACUUUGGGAGAAAAUUCUUCCCUUACCCUCCACUGAACUGAUUCUGGCAUCUCUAGCCCUCAAAAGCCCAUAAAUGAAUCUGCUUCCCAGCAGUUGUCUGGAGAACAUCUGACCUCUUUGGGCUGAAGCUCCCCCAGUCCCACACUCCUCCUUCUGGGGAGGAACUGGCAUUGCCCAGAGAAGACUGAAAACUGCCAAGCAUUGCAGGUGAAGCCAGGAGUGCUCCAACCCCCCCACCUUACUGGGAUGUUCUCUGACCACACAGUCAGUGGUGGGAUCUCCAGCACCCACAGCUUUACAAUAGAUAGACCUCAGCAGUGCCCUGCACUAUGACAAUACCCAAGGAUUAUUUCAUACUUCAUCUCCACCAAGGUGACAAAGAGCAAACCCUUUCCAUUCUCCUUUGCGUUCACAGAAUAGAAAAGGAAUUCGCAGAUCCUUCCAUCUCCUACUGAACAACAGUGAGGUCAGAGGCUCUUCAGCAUCCUCUCAACAAGAGACAUCCUCUGGCAAUGGAGAAAAUCCCAAGAGAAAGAAAAAUAAAAUGCCCCGAAAUGAGCUUAGCAAAAUGUGAUAUCGAAUCUCACAGGUACGUGGAGGAGAAGGAGAAGAAGGAGGAAAAAAAAAAAAAA